rnacentral:lncRNA from 1 species
UUCUAAAAAAAUAUAAUUAUGAAAACAAAAGUUAGUGAUUUGGGAGUAAGGUAAAAUUGAUUAGGGUGCAUUUGGUAGCACAUUACAUUAAAACACUAUUCUUGUAUAAACUCAUUUUUGGUUGCAAUUUUUAGUCACAAUGCACUGUAUUAACGAGGUGGCUACUAAAAUUAGGGGUGGCAAAUAACCCAAUCUAACCAAAAAAUUUCAGGUUUAAAUCAGAUGCAAAUCAAGAAUCCAACCGGAUCGGAUUGGAUCGUGAUAACACUAUGCACGCACAAACCAUGUAUGAAACAAA